rnacentral:rRNA from 1 species
GACUCACGCGGGAAUCUUACCGGGUCCGGACACACUGAGGAUUGACAGGUUUCGAGAGUUUUUUUGGAGUUCGCUCCAGAAUGCUCUCUUAAAUAUGCUAGUCCUUUCAUGAUUAUGUGAUAGGUGGUGCAUGGCCGUUCUUAGUUCGUGGAGUGAUCUGUCUGCUUAAUUGCGUUUCACUAAAGGCGUCAUUAUAUUUUUGUGCUUGUGUUUGACCCCUCUUUCUUCGGAUUGAGCGCGUGUCUUUCACACACAAUUACUUUGACGUCUGAAA